AUUGAACGCUGGCGGCAGGCCUAACACAUGCAAGUCGAGCGGAUGAAGGGAGCUUGCUCCUGGAUUCAGCGGCGGACGGGUGAGUAAUGCCUAGGAAUCUGCCUGGUAGUGGGGGAUAACGUCCGGAAACGGGCGCUAAUACCGCAUACGUCCUGAGGGAGAAAGUGGGGGAUCUUCGGACCUCACGCUAUCAGAUGAGCCUAGGUCGGAUUAGCUAGUUGGUGGGGUAAAGGCCUACCAAGGCGACGAUCCGUAGCUGGUCUGAGAGGAUGAUCAGUCACACUGGAACUGAGACACGGUCCAGACUCCUACGGGAGGCAGCAGUGGGGAAUAUUGGACAAUGGGCGAAAGCCUGAUCCAGCCAUGCCGCGUGUGUGAAGAAGGUCUUCGGAUUGUAAAGCACUUUAAGUUGGGAGGAAGGGCAGUAAGUUAAUACCUUGCUGUUUUGACGUUACCAGCAGAAUAAGCACCGGCUAACUUCGUG
rnacentral:rRNA from 1 species